GAUGAACGCUAGCUACAGGCUUAACACAUGCAAGUCGAGGGGCAGCAUGGUCUUAGCUUGCUAAGGCCGAUGGCGACCGGCGCACGGGUGAGUAACACGUAUCCAACCUGCCGUCUACUCUUGGACAGCCUUCUGAAAGGAAGAUUAAUACAAGAUGGCAUCAUGAGUCCGCAUGUUCACAUGAUUAAAGGUAUUCCGGUAGACGAUGGGGAUGCGUUCCAUUAGAUAGUAGGCGGGGUAACGGCCCACCUAGUCUUCGAUGGAUAGGGGUUCUGAGAGGAAGGUCCCCCACAUUGGAACUGAGACACGGUCCAAACUCCUACGGGAGGCAGCAGUGAGGAAUAUUGGUCAAUGGGCGAGAGCCUGAAUCAGCCAAGUAGCGUGAAGGAUGACUGCCCUAUGGGUUGUAAACUUCUUUUAUAAAGGAAUAAAGUCGGGUAUGGAUACCCGUUUGCAUGUACUUUAUGAAUAAGGAUCGGCUAACUCCGUG
rnacentral:rRNA from 1 species